rnacentral:rRNA from 1 species
UACGGGGGGAGCAAGCGUUGUUCGGAUUUACUGGGCGUAAAGGGCGCGUAGGCGGUCAGCACAAGUCAGUUGUGAAAUCUCCGGGCUUAACUCGGAAAGGUCAACUGAUACUGUGCGGCUAGAGUGCAGAAGGGGCAACUGGAAUUCUUGGUGUAGCGGUGAAAUGCGUAGAUAUCAAGAGGAACACCUGCGGCGAAGGCGGGUUGCUGGGCUGACACUGACGCUGAGGCACGAAAGCGUGGGUAGCAAACAGG